UCCUCGUCAGAGAGAUCCGGGACCACAGCACUUGAUGCAGAGAACCCUGAGUGUGUGGAGAUCAGGGGAGGGCAGAGGAGUCCAGACUGCCAGCAUUUUCUCUGGGUUCCUGAGGCCAUGAGGGAAGAAAGCAGUUUUCUGGCAGCAUUCAUGCAUAGAAUUGCUGCGAGCCCUUUGGGUUUUUAAGAUUGGAGAGUGACCUCAGGGGACCCACCUGGACCACGGCUGUGACAGAGCGAGGACAGGGCCCGACCUCACCCUGAGCCGCCGGGAUGCAGCGCUGGGCCCCGAGCUUCAGGCCCCUCCUGCUCUGGCUCCUGCUGCCCUGGCCAGGCGCAGGGCAGUUCCAAGUGAAGGGACCAAGCUCACCCGUCACUGCC